rnacentral:rRNA from 1 species
AGAGUUUGAUCUGGGCUCACGUUGAACGCCGGCGGUGUGCCUAAUACAUGCAAGUCGUACGCACUGGCCCAACUGAUUGAUGGUGCUUGCACCUGAUUGACGAUGGAUUACCAGUGAGUGGCGGACGGGUGAGUAACACGUAGGUAACCUGCCCCGGAGCGGGGGAUAACAUUUGGAAACAGAUGCUAAUACCGCAUAACAACAAAAGCCACAUGGCUUUUGUUUGAAAGAUGGCUUUGGCUAUCACUCUGGGAUGGACCUGCGGUGCAUUAGCUAGUUGGUAAGGUAACGGCUUACCAAGGCGAUGAUGCAUAGCCGAGUUGAGAGACUGAUCGGCCACAAUGGAACUGAGACACGGUCCAUACUCCUACGGGAGGCAGCAGUAGGGAAUCUUCCACAAUGGGCGCAAGCCUGAUGGAGCAACACCGCGUGAGUGAAGAAGGGUUUCGGCUCGUAAAGCUCUGUUGUUGGAGAAGAACGUGCGUGAGAGUAACUGUUCACGCAGUGACGGUAUCCAACCAGAAAGUCAUGGCUAACUACGUGCCAGCAGCCGCGGUAAUACGUAGGUGGCAAGCGUUAUCCGGAUUUAUUGGGCGUAAAGCGAGCGCAGGCGGUUGCUUAGGUCUGAUGUGAAAGCCUUCGGCUUAACCGAAGAAGUGCAUCGGAAACCGGGCGACUUGAGUGCAGAAGAGGACAGUGGAACUCCAUGUGUAGCGGUGGAAUGCGUAGAUAUAUGGAAGAACACCAGUGGCGAAGGCGGCUGUCUGGUCUGCAACUGACGCUGAGGCUCGAAAGCAUGGGUAGCGAACAGGAUUAGAUACCCUGGUAGUCCAUGCCGUAAACGAUGAGUGCUAGGCGUUGGAGGGUUUCCGCCCUUCAGUGCCGGAGCUAACGCAUUAAGCACUCCGCCUGGGGAGUACGACCGCAAGGUUGAAACUCAAAGGAAUUGACGGGGGCCCGCACAAGCGGUGGAGCAUGUGGUUUAAUUCGAAGCUACGCGAAGAACCUUACCAGGUCUUGACAUCUUGCGCUAACCUUAGAGAUAAGGCGUUCCCUCCGGGGACGCAAUGACAGGUGGUGCAUGGUCGUCGUCAGCUCGUGUCGUGAGAUGUUGGGUUAAGUCCCGCAACGAGCGCAACCCUUGUUACUAGUUGCCAGCAUUAAGUUGGGCACUCUAGUGAGACUGCCGGUGACAAACCGGAGGAAGGUGGGGACGACGUCAGAUCAUCAUGCCCCUUAUGACCUGGGCUACACACGUGCUACAAUGGACGGUACAACGAGUCGCAAGCUCGCGAGAGUAAGCUAAUCUCUUAAAGCCGUUCUCAGUUCGGACUGUAGGCUGCAACUCGCCUACACGAAGUCGGAAUCGCUAGUAAUCGCGGAUCAGCAUGCCGCGGUGAAUACGUUCCCGGGCCUUGUACACACCGCCCGUCACACCAUGGGAGUUUGUAACGCCCAAAGUCGGUGGCCUAACCCUUAUGGAAAGAGCCGCCAAGGCGGGACAGAUGACUGGGGU